GAUGAAGAACGCAGUGAAAUGCGAUAAUUAAUGUGAAUUGCAGAAUUUAGUGAAUCAUCGAAUCUUUGAACGCACAUUGCGCCCCUUGGUAUUCCGGGGGGCAUGCCUGUUCGAGCGUCAUUUCAACCCUCAAGCUCUGCUUGGUCUUGGGCCGCGCCGGCAACUGCGGGCCUCAAAAACAGUGGCGGCGCCAUCUGGUCCCUCAGCGUAGUAAUUCUUCUCGCUGCUGGGCCCCGGUGGCCGCCUGCCAGCAACCCCAAACUUUCUAUGGUUGACCUCGGAUCAGGUAGGGAUACCCGCUGAACUUAAGCAUAUCAAUAAGCGGAGGA
rnacentral:misc_RNA from 1 species